AACGAACGCUGGCGGCAUGCCUAACACAUGCAAGUCGAACGAGACCUUCGGGUCUAGUGGCGCACGGGUGCGUAACGCGUGGGAACCUGCCCUUAGGUUCGGAAUAACUCCCCGAAAGGGGUGCUAAUACCGGAUAAUGUCUUCGGACCAAAGAUUUAUCGCCUUUGGAUGGGCCCGCGUUGGAUUCGCUAGUUGGUAGGGUAAAAGCCUACCAAGGCGACGAUCCAUAGCUGGUCUGAGAGGAUGAUCAGCCACACUGGGACUGAGACACGGCCCAGACUCCUACGGGAAGGAGCAGUGGGGAAUAUUGGACGAUGGGCGAAAGCCUGAUCCAGCAAUGCCGCGGGAGUGAUGAAGGCCUUAGGGUUGUAAAGCUCUUUUACCCGAGAUGAUAAUGACAGUACCGGGAGAAUAAGCACCGGCUAACUCCGUG
rnacentral:rRNA from 1 species